UACGAGGGGGGCAAGCGUUGUUCGGAAUUACUGGGCGUAAAGCGUGCGUAGACGGCUAUCUAAGUCGGGUGUGAAAGCCCCGGGCUCAACCUGGGAAUUGGCAUUCGAGACUGAAUAGCUAGGGUACGGUAGAGGGAAGUGGAAUUUCCGGUGUAGCGGUGAAAUGCGUAGAUAUCGGAAGGAACAUCAGUGGCGAAAGCGACUUCCUGGACCAGUACCGACGUUCAGGCACGAAAGCGUGGGGAGCAAACAGG
rnacentral:rRNA from 1 species